CCCGGUGAAACCUGGCCCGGCACAGUGACACCCUGCCCUGCGGUGACACACAGGAUAGUGACAGGCAAAUCUGUUUCAGCCUGCAGCUCUAUCUGCCGAGGACUCGCAAUAAUUUCUGUUAUCUGUCAUUUUUCUGUGCCACCUAGCUUACUUGGCUGUGUUGUUGGAAUCUCUGAGCGGAGACUGAAUGAAAGCAGUGUUUGUUUGCUGUGAUUGGAUCAGCUGUGAUUGGAUCAGUUACUCAGGGAGCCGAGCUAUGCGAAGGGCCCGAAACCCACUCCACCCUGAGUCAGAGGUGGAGCAUCCCUGGAGACCUGUUCUCAUGACUCACCAGCUGCUAUCUGCAAACAGCCUCUGGGGGAAAUGCCAAACAAUUCACCGAUGGAUUCUCAACAAGGUCAAGAAUGAAAGGAACAUAGGUGCCCACUGUUAGAGAAACCUGGAAGAAGCCUCAGGAUCAAGUCAUGAACUUGCUAAUAACAUUCAAACUCAAAUAAGUCAACUGUAAAGGAAAUCAACCCUCAAUAUUCAUUGGAAGGACUGAUGCUGAAGCUGAAGUUCCAAUACUUUGACCACCUGAUGCAAAGAACCAAUUCAUUAGAAAAGAACCUGAUGCUGGGAAAGAUUGAAGGCAGGAGAAGACGGCAACAGAGGAUGAGAUGGUUGAAUGGCAUCACCAAAUCAAUGGACAUGAGUCUGAGCAAACUCCAGGAGAUAGUGAAGACAGGGAAACCUGGCAUGCUGUAGUCCAUGGGGUUGCAAAGAAUCAGAUAUGACCUAGCUACUGAACAAUAGCAAUAACACUCUGCUUUAUAAAUGAAUGUG
ensembl:lncRNA